rnacentral:rRNA from 1 species
CUGAAGAUUGAGAUAGUCGGGCUUGAUUGGGAAACAAUAACAUGGUUUAUGUGCUCGUUCUGGGUAAAUAGAAAUCUUCGGAUUUUGUUCCCCGGAUAGUAGUUAUAUAGCCAAUUGUGGAACUUUCUUGCUAAUAUUAUAAAUAUUAUAUAUAUCUUUGAUAUAUUAUAAUUUUAUAAUUAUAACGAUUAUCAAUUAACAAUCAAUUCAGAACUGGCACGGACUUGGGGAAUCCGACUGUCUAAUUAAAACAAAGCAUUGUGAUGGCCCUAACGGGUGUUGACACAAUGUGAUUUCUGCCCAGUGCUCUGAAUGUCAACGUGAAGAAAUUCAAAUAAGCGCGGGUCAACGGCGGGAGUAACUAUGACUCUCUUAAGGUAGCCAAAUGCCUCGUCAUCUAAUUAGUGACGCGCAUGAAUGGAUUAACGAGAUUCCCUCUGUCCCUAUCUACUAUCUAGCGAAACCACAGCCAAGGGAACGGGCUUGGAAUAAUUAGCGGGGAAAGAAGACCCUAUUGAGCUUGACUCUAAUCUGGCAGUGUAAGGAAACAUAAGAGGUGUAGAAUAAGUGGGAGAUGUUUAACUUCGGUUUUUCAUCAACAAUGAAAUACCACUACUCUUAUUGUUUCCUUACUUACUUGAUUAAGUGGAACGUGUAUCAUUGCUUAGCCAUUAUACGGAUAUAUUUAUAUAUCUUAUGGUAUUGGGCUUUGAUGCAAGCUUCUUGAUCAAAAUAUCACGAGUUUGUUAUAUAAUUGUAAACAAAUUUUUAUAUAAAAUGAUUAGCAUUUCGGUGUUAAUUAUUUAUAAUUUUAAUUUGGUAUAACUCCAAUCACUCAGGUAUGAUCCAAUUCAAGGACAUUGCCAGGUGGGGAGUUUGACUGGGGCGGUACAUCUCUCAAAUAAUAACGGAGGUGUCCCAAGGCCAGCUCAGUGCGGACAGAAACCACACAUAGAGCAAAAGGGCAAAUGCUGACUUGAUCUCGGUGUUCAGUACACACAGAGACAGCAAAAGCUCGGCCUAUCGAUCCUUUUGGUUUAAAGAGUUUUUAACAAGAGGUGUCAGAAAAGUUACCAUAGGGAUAACUGGCUUGUGGCGGCCAAGCGUUCAUAGCGACGUCGCUUUUUGAUCCUUCGAUGUCGGCUCUUCCUAUCAUUGUGAAGCAAAAUUCACCAAGCGUUGGAUUGUUCACCCAUUCAAGGGAACGUGAGCUGGGUUUAGACCGUCGUGAGACAGGUUAGUUUUACCCUACUAAUGACAAAUGUUGUUACGACAGCAUUCCUGCGUAGUACGAGAGGAACCGCAGGUACGGACCAAUGGUACAAUACUUGUUCGAGAGAACAGUGGUAUUACGCUACGUCCGUUGGAUUAUGCCUGAACGCCUCUAAGGUCGUAUCCGUGCUGGACUGUAACAAUAAAUAUGGGGCAAUUGCUUUGUAUGGCUUCUAAACCAUUGAAAGUUUAUAAAUUUAUUUUAUAAACGAUGGAAAAUUGAUGCCAAUGUUAAAUAUAACAUAGCAAAUCAGGAGGAUUAAUAUCACCUGGUGCCGCGCUAGUUAUAUUAAAAAACAUUAUUUAAUACAAUGUCAAUGCCUAGAAUCAAUUGUAAACGACUUUUGUAACUAGCAAGUGUCGUAGUGUGAG